rnacentral:rRNA from 1 species
AUGGGAAGCAGGUCAAUAUUCCUGCACCAUUGUUAGAUGCGAUGGGGGGACGGAUCGCGGAAGGUUGUCCGGGUGUUGGAAGUCCCGGUCGCUGCAUUGGAGAAGGCGCUUAGGCAAAUCCGGGCGCGGAAUUCAAGGGUGUGGCGCGAGCUCCUUAGGGAGCGAAGCAAUUGGAAGUGGUUCCAAGAAAAGCCUCUAAGCUUCAGUCUAACGAUGACCGUACCGCAAACCGACACAGGUGGGCGAGAUGAGUAUUCUAAGGCGCUUGAGAGAACUCGGGAGAAGGAACUCGGCAAAUUGGUACCGUAACUUCGGGAUAAGGUACGCCCUUGUAGCUUGAUGCCCCUGCGGGCAAAGGGUGAAGGGGUUGCAAUAAACUGGUGGCUGCGACUGUUUAAUAAAAACACAGCACUCUGCAAACACGAAAGUGGACGUAUAGGGUGUGACGCCUGCCCGGUGCCGGAAGAUUAAAUGAUGGGGUGCAAGCUCUUGAUUGAAGUCCCGGUAAACGGCGGCCGUAACUAUAACGGUCCUAAGGUAGCGAAAUUCCUUGUCGGGUAAGUUCCGACCUGCACGAAUGGCGUAACGAUGGCCACACUGUCUCCUCCCGAGACUCAGCGAAGUUGAAGUGUUUGUGAUGAUGCAAUCUACCCGCGGCUAGACGGAAAGACCCCAUGAACCUUUACUGUAGCUUUGCAUUGGACUUUGAACCGAUCUGUGUAGGAUAGGUGGGAGGCUAUGAAACCGGAACGCUAGUUUCGGUGGAGCCGUCCUUGAAAUACCACCCUGGUUUGUUUGAGGUUCUAACCUUGGUCCGUGAUCCGGAUCGGGGACAGUGCAUGGUAGGCAGUUUGACUGGGGCGGUCUCCUCCCAAAGCGUAACGGAGGAGUACGAAGGUACGCUAGGUACGGUCGGAAAUCGUGCUGAUAGUGCAAUGGCAUAAGCGUGCUUAACUGCGAGACCGACAAGUCGAGCAGGUGCGAAAGCAGGUCAUAGUGAUCCGGUGGUUCUGUAUGGAAGGGCCAUCGCUCAACGGAUAAAAGGUACUCUGGGGAUAACAGGCUGAUACCGCCCAAGAGUUCAUAUCGACGGCGGUGUUUGGCACCUCGAUGUCGGCUCAUCUCAUCCUGGGGCUGUAGCCGGUCCCAAGGGUAUGGCUGUUCGCCAUUUAAAGAGGUACGUGAGCUGGGUUUAAAACGUCGUGAGACAGUUUGGUCCCUAUCUGCCGUGGGCGUUGGAUAUUUGAAGGGGGCUGCUCCUAGUACGAGAGGACCGGAGUGGACGAACCUCUGGUGUACCGGUUGUCACGCCAGUGGCAUCGCCGGGUAGCUAUGUUCGGAAGAGAUAACCGCUGAAAGCAUCUAAGCGGGAAACUCGCCUUAAGAUGAGAUAUCCCUGGGGACUAGAUCCCCUUGAAGGGUCGUUCGAGACCAGGACGUUGAUAGGUCAGGUGUGUAAGCGCAGUAAUGCGUUCAGCUAACUGAUACUAAUUGCCCGUAAGGCUUGAUCCUAUAACA